UACGUAGGGUGCAAGCGUUAAUCGGAAUCACUGGGCGUAAAGCGUGCGCAGGCGGUUUUGUAAGUCAGAUGUGAAAUCCCCGGGCUUAACCUGGGAACUGCGUUUGAAACUACAAGGCUAGAGUGUGGCAGAGGGGGGUGGAAUUCCACGUGUAGCAGUGAAAUGCGUAGAGAUGUGGAGGAACACCGAUGGCGAAGGCAGCCCCCUGGGUUAACACUGACGCUCAGGCACGAAAGCGUGGGGAGCAAACAGG
rnacentral:rRNA from 1 species